AAAAACUUAGUUUAUAAUAAAAUAAUUGUUUGUCUUUCAAUAGAUGUGGGGUUUUUAUUCCACAGUUUUUA
rnacentral:tRNA from 1 species